CCUCGCGCCAUGAAUAAACGCUGGAGAAGGGAGGAAAGUUUUAUAAUGUGGAGUGCAAUAGAUAUGUGUUAGGUGGUAUUCUGUCACGGUGAGUCGUCUUCAUGGCAGCGUCUGGCACCUCCCCGCUGAUUCAUCUGCGGCUGGGGGUAAAUGGAUGAGGUGGCCGCCGCUGCCGCCUUUACCGCACGCCUGCCCAGCGGAAAGAGGACAAAAACUGGCUUUAUCUCGUGUUGUGUUGGAGUUUAUUGGUCACGAAAUCAAGCAUAAAACGAGUAGAAAAGUCAGGAUAUGUCAAUCGCGUGUUCGUCCCUUUGUAUUUCGUCCUUCACCAGUCACCGCAAGCUGGGUCCUCCGUCCCUUAGCCCGGGCGUGCAACCUUGCCCCUCACCGCACCACCUCCCAUCGCCUUGCCCCUCACCUUUCCGCCGACCUUUCUCGCCGCCUCGCACCAAAAAGGAAGGUAUUGGCUGUUUCUUCUACUGCAUGCCAGGUUGCGACACUUGCCACUGUGAAAGCCGCCCCUCGGAGCUGAAGAAAGCUUUACGGCGGCGCUGGUGUCCAUUCCUGCACGCCGCGUCACGCGUUGCCAACAACCAUGACCGACUUCCACUUUGGCGAAGGCAGCAGCAUACCCAAAGGGGUGGCUGGAAGGAUGGCGCCGUGCGGACCCGACCACCGCGGGAGAGAAAGGUUGCUAUCCGCGAAAGGCAAUGGGGUGGCGACUUUUAAACUUCCGCGUGGUAAUCCUUCACUGUUGACUCACUCUCCUUGAAGAGAAAGCUGUGGGUACGUACAAUCAGUGUAGCCUGUCAGUCUUAACGUAAUUCGGAAAAAAGUGCCUCGCAAAAGGUCUAGAGGAAAAUAUAAAAAGUGCUCAAAGAGUAACGGAGAGAAAAAUGUCAAGUAUAACAUGAGACAGAAAGCGAUUAUCAUGGAUCAUGGAACAGACAAUGGUUGAAGAUAUUCUAAUAACAAUUAAGAAUAAAACGCGGAUUUGUGUAUCGUGCGUAGAACAUAACAUUUGGACCCCAACAGUGGCAGCCCAGGAACUGUUGAAAUCAGGGCAGACAGGGACGCAGGUGGAAAGAUAAAAUAAGAACCUUUGCCGAAGACUUUAAUAUAACACCGUCAGAUAGAGAGAUGGAAAGCAUUUGGAAAGGUCCGUAUCCUGCAGUGAACUAAUGAUAGUCAAUAAUGAUGAAACGAAAGGGGCGGUUGUUAAGCUAAUCCCUGGAACAAACAUCAGAUGUGAGUGGGCCGUGUGGUCUAAGAAGGCAUUGACAAUGUUUAGAUUUUUAUACUCGCGUGUAACCGUUUCGUAAGAGCACUGCUACAUCCCCUAUGAAGAGUGAUGGAAAGUGGCGUGUGACCGCUCCGUCAGGUGGGAAGAUGUUGAUGAAGAUGUAGACUGCUAUCCGGCUCAAGACUUUUUUUUUUCAUCCUCUGAACGUGUCCUCCACAUACUCAAGCCUAAUGAAGAUGCUCAGACGGCAGACGCGAGUUGCAUUCACAUGGCAUUUUAAGACUGAAAAAAAAAAUCCUUCAGCUCCGGGUGCAAGGUCUGUCCUCGCGCCGCCCAGCUGCUCCUGAGUGGGGCAAGGAAAGACUGGUCCGGCGGAGCAGUAGACCUUGGCUGUCACCGCGGGAUGGGCCGUAGAGCAGGAAGCCUAUAACAAUAAUUUCCUGUGGAAAUUUCUAAGUCGACAAGUUUCUUUUCACAUAAAAACCUACUUCCCCGUAGCCUGAUAAUUAAAUUCUUCCCACUUUUUCUCCUUGUGUUAACACCUUGACAGUGAACGCUAUAUAUAGUGACAUCAGAUCAGGAACUUCAACUGUGUAAAUAUAUUUCUAAGAGUAGAUAUUAUUAAUGACCUUCAUAGCCACUCAAUGAAAAAAAAAAUCUACCCGACAUCUUGAAUGGCGUGAUGCUAAACUUUCUCUAAAGAUGCUGAAAAAAAAUAGCAAUACCUCGAGGAGUUAAAGAUGGAUGAAGUGCUUUGAUAAGGACAGGACUCACGUACGGUAGCGGUUUUAUUAAGUUCGAUAUCUCCAGCCUAAGUGAAGACAAAUGCAAGAACAGAUUCACAAACAUUAUGGUGGAUGAGUGGACCAUGCUUGGCAACCAUGUAGCGCCAAUACGACAGACGCCUUCAAGAUAAGGUUUUAUAAUAAAUUCAUCGACAGGGAGAAUAUGAGCUGCCCGUGUAGACUUAACGGCGUCUUGACGAUUUGUUCUUUUGUGCUCUAAUGAAGAUAUAAAGUUCAUCUCUCGAAUCCUAAUCAUAUAUCAUGCAGAAGUAAGGCGGGGGGAGAGGGCGGGAGAGCUACAAGGCGGCCUCCUCCGACUUAACCCCUUGACAGCGGAUUUCCUAUCAGAGGACCUCACCAAGCUACAGGAGUGGAACAAAAAGUGGCUGCUACAAUUCAGUAAAGAUAAAUGGAAGGAAACUCAACAUGGGAAACACUCCACUCUCCACCACAGAGGCAGAGAAAGACCUGGGAGUGUAUGUUACCAGGCUACCAGUAAAGGCGGACGGGUUAAUCUCUGAGGGAUCUGAACACACCUUUGCGGAGGCUGAGCGCGUUUGGGAAGCCUGGCAGGGACGAAGUGGCGUAUCCGAGGAGGAGGAGCACCACCACCAUCAUCAUCAUCAUCUCAUCAUCAUAAUCAUCACCACCAAUCAUUACAUACUAUUAAAGUUCCGUGCACGACAAAGAUUCUCAACGUUCUCCACCUCUCCCUGUCUGAUGAGAGUGCAACAACAACAACAACAACAACAACAACGACAACAACAACAAAAAAACACUUCAUUAUUGUAUUUCCUCAGUAAAGGAGACAGACAGACAGACAAGCAGGCCAAGGACAAGACGAAUUAAUUAACAAAGAAAAGAAAAAAGCCCGCAACACGUUUUUUUUUUUCUCUCUCUAGGAAGAAAUUCUAGUGUUUUCCUCCUCCAUCUCCCCCCCCCCCCCUCUUGUGAAAGAAUAAAAC